rnacentral:rRNA from 1 species
GCCUAAUACAUGCAAGUCGAACGGUCUUUCUAUGGAAGCUUGCUUCCACUGAGAAGAUAGUGGCGAACGGGUGAGUAACACGUGGGGUAACCUGCCCAUAAGAGGGGGAUAACAUCCGGAAACGGGUGCUAAUACCGCAUAGUUUUCUGAUCGCAUGAUUGAGAAAGGAAAGACGGCCUUUGUGCUGUCGCUUAUGGAUGGACCCGCGGCGUAUUAGUUAGUUGGUGAGGUAACGGCUCACCAAGACGAUGAUACGUAGCCGACCUGAGAGGGUGAUCGGCCACAUUGGGACUGAGACACGGCCCAAACUCCUACGGGAGGCAGCAGUAGGGAAUCUUCCGCAAUGGACGAAAGUCUGACGGAGCAACGCCGCGUGAGUGAAGAAAGGUUUUCGGAUCGUAAAACUCUGUUGUCAGAGAAGAACAAGUUGGAGAGUAACUGCUCCAGCCUUGACGGCAUCUGACCAGAAAGCCACGGCUAACUACGUGCCAGCCGCCGC